rnacentral:tRNA from 1 species
ACUUUUAAACGAUAAUAUUCUAUCCAUUGGUCUUAGAAGCCAACAUUCUUGGUGUAAAUCCAUGUAAAAGUA